rnacentral:rRNA from 1 species
AUUGAACGCUGGCGGCGUGCCUAACACAUGCAAGUCGAGCGGCAGCGCGGUAGCAAUACUGGCGGCGAGCGGCGGACGGGUGAGCAAUGCUUGGGAAUCUGCCUAUCAGUGGGGGACAACCCGGGGAAACUCGGGCUAAUACCGCAUACGUUCUUCGGAAGAAAGCAGGGGAUCGCAAGACCUUGCGCUGAUAGAUGAGCCCAAGUCGGAUUAGCUAGUUGGUGAGGUAAUGGCUCACCAAGGCGACGAUCCGUAGCUGGUCUGAGAGGACGACCAGCCACACCGGAACUGAGACACGGUCCGGACUCCUACGGGAGGCAGCAGUGGGGAAUAUUGGACAAUGGGGGCAACCCUGAUCCAGCGACGCCGCGUGGGUGAAGAAGGCCUGCGGGUUGUAAAGCCCUUUCGUUGGGGAAGAACAGUGUCGACCUAACACGUCGGCACCUUGACGUUACCCAAAGAAGAAGCACCGGCUAACUCUGUGCCAGCAGCCGCGGUAAA